GACGAACGCUGGCGGCGUGCCUAAUACAUGCAAGUAGAACGCACAGUUUAUACCGUAGCUUGCUACACCAUAGACUGUGAGUUGCGAACGGGUGAGUAACGCGUAGGUAACCUGCCUGGUAGCGGGGGAUAACUAUUGGAAACGAUAGCUAAUACCGCAUAAUAUUAAUUAUUGCAUGAUAAUUAAUUGAAAGGUGCAAUUGCACCACUACCAGAUGGACCUGCGUUGUAUUAGCUAGUAGGUGAGGUAACGGCUCACCUAGGCGACGAUACAUAGCCGACCUGAAAGGGUGAUCGGCCACACUGGGACUGAGACACGGCCCAGACUCCUACGGGAGGCAGCAGUAGGGAAUCUUCGGCAAUGGACGAAAGUCUGACCGAGCAACGCCGCGUGAGUGAAGAAGGUUUUCGGAUCGUAAAGCUCUGUUGUAAGAGAAGAACGGGUGUGAGAGUGGAAAGUUCACACUGUGACGGUAUCUUACCAGAAAGGGACGGCUAACUACGUG
rnacentral:rRNA from 1 species